rnacentral:miRNA from 1 species
UAUUUCUGGUCUCCCUUCCCUUUUUUAAAAGUCUCUAGGCCUGAGAGUUUUAAAAAAGGGAAGGAGACCAGAAAU